GAUGAACGCUGGCGGCGUGCCUAAUACAUGCAAGUCGAGCGAACGGACGAGAAGCUUGCUUCUCUAAUGUUAGCGGCGGACGGGUGAGUAACACGUGGAUAACCUACCUAUAAGACUGGGAUAACUUCGGGAAACCGUAGCUAAUACCGGAUAAUAUUUUGAACCGCAUGGUUCAAAAGUGAAAGACGGUCUUGCUGUCACUUAUAGAUGGAUCCGCGCUGCAUUAGCUAGUUGGUAAGGUAACGGCUUACCAAGGCAACGAUGCAUAGCCGACCUGAGAGGGUGAUCGGCCACACUGGAACUGAGACACGGUCCAGACUCCUACGGGAGGCAGCAGUAGGGAAUCUUCCGCAAUGGGCGAAAGCCUGACGGAGCAACGCCGCGUGAGUGAUGAAGGUCUUCGGAUCGUAAAACUCUGUUAUUAGGGAAGAACAUAUGUGUAAGUAACUGUGCACAUCUUGACGGUACCUAAUCAGAAAGCCACGACUAACUACGUG
rnacentral:rRNA from 1 species